GGAAGCAGGUCUCCACUCAGAAAGCACAUGGUGCUGUAACCUGGCAGGGCCGUGCCUCCGAACCACAGCAUGCAUCUUACCUAGAGUUUGCAAAAUGAGAUUUUGUCAUGUGUGUUCCCUUUUUCAUGAAACAAGGCACCACUAAUGUGCUCUCUUUAUCCUUGUUCACAGAGCCCUUCUGUGGAGUUCCCUGGCAGAUUUUCCAAGGCUGUGUGGCAACCCAGCAAAUCCCCUACUGCCCCAGGAAGUAUCUGGAUGCUGCUCGGUGGCAUGUCGAAAACAACAGGAACCGAAGAUGACUUUUCUUCAGCAAUCGCUGAAAUAAGCUACUGUGAGUAUGCUUUUUCCUCCCUCCCCCUAGAGUACCAAAGAAGAUGCCGAAAUAGAAGCAAGUGCUUCUGGGAUUGUUUCUGGGAGUCCAGACUCUCUGAUCUCUGGAAGCUGUCUUAAAGGCUCUUCAGCUCUUCCUGGGAGAGGAUGUGGCCUAAUCAGGGAGAAUGUCAGCACAAAAAUGACUUGGAGGAUGGGAAGACAAGAGAGUCGUGAUAUAAAGAAAAUUCCGGCACUGCUUAAAGCACCAUGAUCUGCACACUAGGAAAGGGCAAGGGCUGCCUCUUCCUCCUGGGGGCAAUCUGCUGAAAAGCCGCAAGCCACAAACAACGCAGAGCAAGGUGGGAGUGGAAAUGAGGCAACAUACAUCCCAGCUGGAUGUGGUGGCGCAAGCCUGUAAUCCCAGCACUCCGGGAGACGGAGGCAAAGCGCAGCCUGAACAACCUAGCAACUUAGUGAGACCAUGACUCAAAGUAAAAAGUAAAGAAAGGGGCUGGGGAUGUCGGUAACUCAGUGGGAAGACCCUGCAUUCAAUCCCCAGUAUUGAAGAAAGGAUAAGAAAGAAAGAAGAAAACUGAUUCCAGAGAAGACUUGGGGAGUAACGGUUACCGGGUCACAAAAUUUGCAAAAGAAAGUCAAGGUGAGACAGAGGAAACCGUCAGCAAGGAAGGAAGAGGAGACCCUCACACUUCAAUCCAGCUCACCGCCCCCUCAUGCUCAUCACCCCAUCUUUUCAGUUUAAUUGAAGAGUAUUUAUUUAAUUAAUAAAAAUAUCUGUCUAGUGAGGGUUUCAAAAAUCUAAGGCUAGAAUAGGCUGCCAUUAAUAAAAUAAGUUUUUUAUAUCCAAGUUUAAUUAUGGUGGUGUGUGUUUGAUAGCUUGUUACUGUAAAUAAAAGAGAUAAAGGCAGCCCUUCACUGGAGGAGCUGGAGAGCUGUGAAAU